rnacentral:rRNA from 1 species
CAUGCAAGUCGAACGAGCGAGAGAGAGCUUGCUUUCUCGAGCGAGUGGCGAACGGGUGAGUAACGCGUGAGGAACCUGCCUCAAAGAGGGGGACAACAGUUGGAAACGACUGCUAAUACCGCAUAAGCCCACGGGUCGGCAUCGACCAGAGGGAAAAGGAGCAAUCCGCUUUGAGAUGGCCUCGCGUCCGAUUAGCUGGUUGGUGAGGUAACGGCCCACCAAGGCGACGAUCGGUAGCCGGACUGAGAGGUUGAACGGCCACAUUGGGACUGAGACACGGCCCAGACUCCUACGGGAGGCAGCAGUGGGGAAUAUUGCACAAUGGGGGAAACCCUGAUGCAGCGACGCCGCGUGGAGGAAGAAGGUCUUCGGAUUGUAAACUCCUGUUGUUGGGGAAGAUAAUGACGGUACCCAACAAGGAAGUGACGGCUAACUACGUGCCAGCAGCCGCGGUAAAACGUAGGUCACAAGCGUUGUCCGGAAUUACUGGGUGUAAAGGGAGCGCAGGCGGGAAGACAAGUUGGAAGUGAAAUCCAUGGGCUCAACCCAUGAACUGCUUUCAAAACUGUUUUUCUUGAGUAGUGCAGAGGUAGGCGGAAUUCCCGGUGUAGCGGUGGAAUGCGUAGAUAUCGGGAGGAACACCAGUGGCGAAGGCGGCCUACUGGGCACCAACUGACGCUGAGGCUCGAAAGUGUGGGUAGCAAACAGGAUUAGAUACCCUGGUAGUCCACACCGUAAACGAUGAUUACUAGGUGUUGGAGGAUUGACCCCUUCAGUGCCGCAGUUAACACAAUAAGUAAUCCACCUGGGGAGUACGACCGCAAGGUUGAAACUCAAAGGAAUUGACGGGGGCCCGCACAAGCAGUGGAGUAUGUGGUUUAAUUCGACGCAACGCGAAGAACCUUACCAAGUCUUGACAUCCGUUGACCGCUGUAGAAAUACAGUUUU